CACAAGUACUUUCUCAGUGAUGUUGGCUCC
rnacentral:piRNA from 1 species